GAGGGUAUAGCUCAGUGAUAAGAGUGCCUGCUUAGCAUGCAGGAGGUCCUGGUUCAAUCCCCGGUACCUCCA
rnacentral:tRNA from 1 species